rnacentral:rRNA from 1 species
GUUUACGGUUAUGCCACCCUGACCAAGCCCAAUCUCGUCUGAUUUCGGAAGCUAAGGAGAGUCAGUUAGUACUUGGAUGGGAGACCACCUAGGAAGACCAGGUGCUGUAGGCA